AAUGGACUGAGCCACCCAGGCACCCGAGAACUGGUGUCUUUAUAAGAUGACAAGACACCAGGGGCAUGUGCAAAAAGAAAAGACUAUGUGAGGACACAGCAAGAAAGCAGUCACCUGCAAGCCAAGAGAGGACUCAGGAGAAACCAAAUGUGUCCACACCUUGACCUCAGACUUCCAGCAUCCAGAACUAGAAAAAGUGCUGGCGAUUUGUAGAAGACAUGUGCUGACCGGAAACCUGAAAUCUUUGAAAUUGACUGGAAACUACUGCCACCUGAUCCCUGAGAUCUGGAAACAGUUAAAGCAGCCAUGAAAGAUACACACGUGGGGUGUGAAAGCAAUACAGAAGUGCAAGUAUCACUGGAAGAAACGGAACAGCUCUUCAAGGAAUGAGACGAUACAAAGGUCAAUUAUUUGGAAAGCCAUUAGGUUGUUGGGAGUUCCAGUUCAAGAUGGUGACAGAGGAGGAUCCCUGGCUCACCUCUUUCCGCUGACAUACUGAAUCUGAAGCCACAUGUCGAACCACCUCCUGGGACAAAACCUAAGAGCAGACCAACUCUUACCCAACCAGGCUAAAGACAGAACGUCCACAUCGAAGGCGGGAAGAGGGGCUGGGGCACAAACUCGCCAUUAAACCCCAACCCCUACAAGGUGAUCCAGGUGGGAGAGAGCUGAGCUUCUCCCCAAGUGAGGAGUCUGAACCCCACAGCGGGCACCCACAUGGGAAGAAACGCUCCCCGCCCCCCUCCCCCACACCAAACGUCCAGCUUUGCAAACCAAACGUCCACAAGACCCACAAGACUAAAAAGCUGAGGAACGGCUCUUCAAAGGCUCUCACAAGGACUCACCCGCCCCAGGGUUCAAGCGCAGAAGCAGCCAAUCCAGAAGCUCCCAACUUUGUGGCCCUAUGGGCGCCAUUUACUGAUCUUCAAGUCGCAGCCUGAGGGUCAGGCAUGUAAUCUAGACACACGCAGAGGCUGCUGGCUGGCAGCCACCAUCUCCAGCUCUCCCUCUCUCGGCCUCACUUCAGCUAACAGGCGCCAUUUUUGUCCCCCUAAUUUAAUGCUAGGGUUUUUUUCUUUCUUUCUUUUUCACAGAAAAAGAAAUACACGUUUCCUCUACCACAUACCAAAGCGUGUGCAUCUCCCAGAGCACUGCUUUUACACAUGUCCGUUGGCCGGCGUUCCGCUACUGCUACGCGGUGACCUCCCGGCUCGGGAGGGCAGGGGAGCGUGUGUUCCUGGGUCUCGCGAGACCACAGCCAUGAGCGCGAACGUUCUUGGUAGCCUACCAACUCCAGGGCCCUGCGUUGAUAACAUAUUGGAGCAGACACCUAGUCUUUCUGAGACAGAGGCCUAUUUGCCUGUCCUGGAGCUUUGGCCUUGAGGGACAGGCUUCUGAUCUGACACACAUCUACAGGCCACACAUGAGCUCUCAGGAAACAAAGGCCGGUGGAUGCCAUCUUCUCGGUCUCCCUCUGCCUUGCACCAGCUCACCUGUGUAUUGCAGAAAAGAGCUUAGACCCUCAGCUGGUGCCCAAUUUUUGUGGACAUCCAUACAUGACUCUGGUGGCCAGGGGGAAUUACGCUCAUGGGUCCCACACAACUGCAAUCAAUGGAGAGAGUUCUUAAGUAGCUCCCAAUCUCCAGGGACAGCUGGAAGCAACAGACCCAGGAGCUCCAUGUUUCUUAAAAGGAACCCAUUAGCCUACCUCCAUAGUUACAGCCUGAGGGGCAGGCUUCAAAUGAAAACAAGCAUCUGAGGGCUCACUGUUAUCCUUUCCAGAGACCUCAGAGGGCUGGCCACUAUCUUUGCAUUCCCUGAGCUGCAUUCUAGAGCACCACAAGCCUGACUAUAACUAUAGUUAAUAAUACUGGAUUGCAUAUUUGAAAGUAGCUAAGAGGGUGGAUCUUGAAACUUCUCACCUCAAGAAAAAAAAUAUAUAGCUAUGCAUGGUGAUGGAUGUUAACUGAACCUGCUGUGAUUAUUUUGUAACAUAAUACACAAAUAUUGAAUUAUUACAUUGCAUGCCUGAAACUAAUAUAUCAAUUAUACCUUAAUAAAAGAAAAAAGAAAAAAAAUAAUUUGUUUGAGCUGCGUGCUACUUAUUGGUGGUAACAAGGAUUAUAAACAAUGACGCCUCAAAUGAGGAUGAACACUGUGAAGGUACUUACUGAGUCCUUAAGCAGAAU